UUCAUCUCUCCUCUCCUCAGGGUCAGUCUUCCCCACCUGUCCACUCCCCCCAAGACCUUUCCUGUAUUAUUGUCAUGUGUGUCUCUAAUGUAGUAUCUUGUUUGUGGAGUUUUGUUAUUUGGUUACACAGUCAUUGCUAAAAGAUUUGUCGUAAGAUUUAAAUUUGUGUUUUGUUUUUCAAAAGAUUGUAAAGGAAAUUUAUUGUGUUUCCAAAAUAUUGUCAAUAUUAAAAUAUGAAAACUCUCUAUGUUUAUUUAGUGGUUCAGUGGUAGCUAUCAACACGGCAGAAUCCAAAAUCAACUUGGAGGCAAGUCCUUCGGACAUCUGUGAGGGGUCAUCUUGUUGUUUGAAGAACCAUCUUAAUGGUAGCUAAGAACAUCCCCUGGGUGGAAAAUCCUGUAUUGUAUAAAAUGAUGAAGGCAGGAGAAAUGACUUCAGUUCAACAUGAAAUUAAUCCCCUAGACCAUAUAAGAGUGCAAAGGUGACCUGACCAUCUGAGCCUUCAGGAAGACAUGCUUCAUGGAUCUCAAUUUGGAUUUCUGAACAGAAAAACAGGUAUCAUCAAUUACUGGUACUUGUAAUGCACAGCAUUGCCAUGAAGAAAACGGAAUUAGCACAGAGCAUGCAGAGUACCUUCCAACUCCAUGAACAUUACAUGUGAAGCUUCAAGUUUGGUAUCUGCACAAUUUCUCCAUGAUUGAUGACAGAACAUCCUGAGAAGAUCACACUGGAGACCACUACUCUGAUCUAAGAUAUAAACUGCCAGUACUUUCCUGAUGAGGAGUAGGACUCUGUGUUUAUACCCUUAACCAAUGCUGUAAGUGUAAGUAGUGUGAAAUAUUGGAAGUUUUGUCUGUUCCUACUGCUUUAGAAGCUUUCGUA